GGCAGUGUGGUGCAAUGGUCUGAGCAUUACACUACAACUCAGGAAACCAGGGUUUGAUUCCCAGCUCAGCCA